ACAACGUUCUGUAGGUGAACCUGCAGAUGGAUCAUCG
rnacentral:rRNA from 1 species